rnacentral:rRNA from 1 species
UACUCUUUAGCUUGCUAAGGAGGAAAGUGGCGCACGGGUGCGUAACGCGUAUGCAACCUACCUUAAUCAGGGGGAUAGCCCGAAGAAAUUCGGAUUAACACCGCAUAAAAUCACAGCACAGCAUUGUGCAAUGAUCAAAUAUUUAUAGGAUUAAGAUGGGCAUGCGUGACAUUAGUUAGUUGGCGGGGUAACGGCCCACCAAGACCACGAUGUCUAGGGGAUCUGAGAGGAUGACCCCCCACACUGGUACUGAGACACGGACCAGACUCC